AUUGAACGCUGGCGGAAUGCUUUACACAUGCAAGUCGAACGGCAGCACGGACUUCGGUCUGGUGGCGAGUGGCGAACGGGUGAGUAAUGUAUCGGAACGUGCCCAGUCGUGGGGGAUAACGUAGUGAAAAUUACGCUAAUACCGCAUACGAUCUAUGGAUGAAAGCGGGGGAUCGCAAGACCUCGCGCGAUUGGAGCGGCCGAUAUCAGAUUAGUUAGUUGGUGGGGUAAAGGCCCACCAAGCCAACGAUCUGUAGCUGGUCUGAGAGGACGACCAGCCACACUGGAACUGAGACACGGUCCAGACUCCUACGGGAGGCAGCAGUGGGGAAUUUUGGACAAUGGGCGAAAGCCUGAUCCAGCCAUUCCGCGUGCAGGAUGAAGGCCCUCGGGUUGUAAACUGCUUUUGUACAGAACGAAAAGGUUUCUACUAAUACUAGGAGCUCAUGACGGUACUGUAAGAAUAAGCACCGGCUAACUACGUGCCAGCCGCCGCCGUAA
rnacentral:rRNA from 1 species